GUCUGUGGCCAUACUACCCUGAAAGAGCCCAAUCUCACGCAAUUUUGGAAGCUAAGUAGGUAGGGCUGGGCCUGGUGAGUACUUGGAUGGGAGAUAAGAGCCUCGUGUC
rnacentral:rRNA from 1 species